rnacentral:lncRNA from 1 species
UGAGUUUGACCGAGCUUGACGUCGAGCUUCCGCCCAAAUUUCCUCCGGCCAACCCUGCUAGAUUUUUUACUUCGGAAGCUCAAUAAGCUUGUUGCUAUUCGACUUGCCAUGGCCAAUGGUCUCGCAAAUAUAACAAAUAAGCGGUAGCUGCUCAUAACUAAAUGAGGCUUCAGGAGGUUCACCACCAGCCUUUCCAAGCUUUUUCUGCCGCAUAAAAGGAGUAAGAAUGUUCAAACGAACUUGGAUCCGUGUAUAGUUAUUCAUAUAGUUGCAUCAGUUGGUAGUGUCACGGAACUCAAUAUGCUCUGGAUUCUCCCCUUGGAUUGUUCAAACGAACUUGGAUCCGUGUAUAGUUAUUCAUAUAGUUGCAUCAGUUGGUAGUGUCAUAAUUGAGGAACUUACCCAUAAGGUUGCCCAUUACACGCCAAGCUCUCUGAUACGAAACCAGGAGGCAAGUCAUGUACAUGUACCCAAAAAUCGGCAUGACGGAACUCAAUAUGCUCUGGAUUCUCCCCUUGGAUAGUUGAUGUAUAAAAAAGAAACAGUUGUUGAAAGACAACGAACUCCCGAAACCAUCUUCCCAGAUCCACCGCAUGGUAAAACUGUAUCAAGUACAGGCCCGUAUCCCCAAUCGGUUUGAUCAUUGCCCCUUAAAGCAGUCUCCAUAGUGACAACAAAGUUCUUUCCCUUGCCGGGAAAUUAAUGGUCCGCUCCUUGAGAAACUUCCUCACCGGACAAAGCUCAUAGAUGAUAUCAUCCUCAAGAUCGACGUCCAACUCUACCACUAAUUUCGUGUCCUCCUUCUCAGCCAAGGAAAGAUUACUGGAAUCCAACUCCAUGACAAAACACCACCCGAAAGAACAAUGAAGCCUGAACAACUCAUUCCGGAAAACUAAGAAAAGAGGAGAGAGAGAGAGAGAGAGACUGUUGUUAUAUUUUACAAAAGAAUUUAAUUUUUUUCAAAAUUUUAUAAGUUUACGUUCUAUUUCUUGCUUCACUUAAAAACGUAAAAUUAAGUUUAUUACAUGACAUGCAAAGAAAGUUAGCAACGAAAUGCCAAAUAUAUUGUAAUUCCAAAAAAAUCUAUAAAAAGUUAGUAGCCC